UUGGCCCGGAAACCUUCUAUUUAUAUAUGUUUUGGAAGAAAAAUAACUUUGCUACUAUUUGCCUAAUUCAUGCUGCACCGAGAAGAAGAGAGUUCGAGAAAUUCUUAGGAAACAGAAGGCCAGCACAGAUACUCACGAACAUAUCUCUAAUUUUAUUAUGAAAAUCAAUAGAAAAACAAGUGUCAGUAUGUGGAAGUCCUAUUAACGGCAGUUUUCUUGAACGAUGGAGUGGAUAACACCUGUGGCCAAAAUCUUGAGAAUGGGACGAAAUGUUUAAUUACUGUUCCUCACCUGUUCUUUUGCAUGCAUGCUCUGAAAACGUUUUGACUUCGAAUAUGACUGACAUUU
rnacentral:lncRNA from 1 species